GGAGAGGUGGCUGAGUGGUUGAAGGCACUGGUUUCGAAAACCAGCAUCCGGGAAACUGGAUCGAGGGUUCAAAUCCCUCCCUCUCCG
rnacentral:tRNA from 1 species